GUUGCACAUUUAUGCAAACGCCGGGGUCACUCACGUGACCCGGCGUUAAAGCAACAGUACCACAAUCACAGUGGUAGGCGUAGAUAUCUCCCACGUGUGAUUCUUAAUUCUGAUUGGAAGUUAUCCAAUCAGAAUUAAGCAAAGGAUAUUUAUACUUACCUUUCCUGUCUCUCAGUGCCCUGUUGUGGUCUUGUGAUAGCUGUAUUGCAGUUUGCUCGUGUUUCUCUCUGGUUACUGAUUAUUUGGCUCGUUAUUCCGAUUUUCAUGUAUUCUCC